GAUCUACUAUAAAACUUAUAAAAUUAAUCAAAUUAUAAAUCUUAUUAUAUUUCACAAAAUUCAUAGUCAUCCAAAACAACCUUGACUUUGUAAAGCUCUUAUAAAGUCAUUACAAACUCAAAUUAUUCAAGACUAAUGCUUAAAAAAAUCUUAUGUAGUCUUCUUUUAAAUCCUACUCUUUAAUUUACAAAAGAACUUUAGAAUUACCAUAGGUAUGUGAUUUUGUAUCUUGAGAUUUGAUUUUGAUCUUGGUUGACAACUGCUAUCAUAAUACGUGAAGUCUUGCUUGAGAAUGCUCUAGGCACUUGGCCAUAGAAGGUAGAAUGGAAAUUACAACAACAAAAUCCUAGCUCUAAUAGAAUACUAAUUAAACUCUAAUUAGACCAUAAUAAUACUAAAUAAGCUUUAAUCAAAUUCAAAAAAAAAAACUCAAAGGGAUUACAAAGAAAUAAUAAGAAAUCUUAAAGAAAUAUUAGAAUAAUCACAAAUAUAUCUCAAAUACAUCUCAAUUCAAUCUUAAUUUAAUCCUAGUUAAAAUCCUAUUGGACUUCAUUCAAACUUUAGGCCAAAAACUAACUAAAUCUUAAAUCCUAAACAAACCCUAAUAAAAUCCUAAAUCCUAAAUCAAAUCCUAACCAAAUCCUAAAUCCUAAAUAAAAUCCUAAUAAAAUCCUAAACCCUAAAUCAAACCCUAAACCCUAAAUCAAAUCCUAGUAAUUCCUACAAUAGAUUUAAACCUCAAUUAUUAAUAAAUAAACUAUUAAUCUUAACUAAAAAUUUUCUCACUUCUUAACAAUUAAGUUGAAAACAAGCACAAAAAAUUUGAAAAGGAUCGGAAUUACCAAAUAAAUGAUAGCUUCAAAAAUGAGCUUGGAUAUUAGCUGGCCUCAUUCUCCGACCUUGAUGCCAAUCUCCCAGAGUCAAUAUCUCU
rnacentral:lncRNA from 1 species